GGUGCUUGCUAGAGUUUGGGCGCUGGACUGGUCUGGGGGGCUGGUGUCGGGGUGGUGCUGACAACCUGUUUCUGGUUCGACAGCAGAAGGCACCCC
rnacentral:tRNA from 1 species